rnacentral:rRNA from 1 species
UACGUAGGGUGCAAGCGUUGUCCGGAAUUAUUGGGCGUAAAGAGCGUGUAGGCGGCCAGAUAGGUCCGUUGUGAAACUGGAGGCUUAACCUCCAGCGGUCGAUGGAAACCAUCUGGCUAGAGUCCGGAAGAGGAGAGUGGAAUUCCUGGUGUAGCGGUGAAAUGCGCAGAUAUCAGGAAGAACACCCGUGGCGAAGGCGGUUCUCUGGGACGGUACUGACGCUGAGACGCGAAAGCGUGGGGAGCGAACAGG